UUAAGUAAGGAAGGGCGUACGGAGGAUGCCUUGCCACUCGAAACUGAAGAAGGACGUGCCAAACUGCGAAAUGCGGCGGUGAGCUGUAAGGAAGCGAAGACCCGCCGAUCUCCGAAUGGGGGAACCCGGCCGGCCACACAGCCGGUCACCGCACGGUGAACACAUAGCCGUGCAGGGAGGUACCCGGUGAACUGAAACAUCUAAGUAACCGGAGGAAAAGAAAACAACAGUGAUUCCCCAAGUAGCGGCGAGCGAAAGGGGAGAAGCCCAAACCGGUCUGAGGACCGGGGUUGAAGGACCGCGGGAUGACAAGAAGGAGCAUAGACGAACGCGAUUGAAAGCGCGACCGAAGAAGGUGCAAGUCCUGUAGUCGAAAUGGUCCGGAAGUCUAGCGGGAUCCUGAGUACGGCGAGACACGAGGAAUCUUGUCGGAAGCAGGCGGGACCAUCCGCCAAGGCUAAAUAUAAACGAGUGAGCGAUAGUGAACCAGUACCGUGAGGGAAAGGUGAAAAGAACCGCGGGAGCGGAGUGAAAGAGAACCUGAAACCGUAUGCCUACAAGAAGUCAGAGCCCGUUAAAGGGUGAUGGCGUGCCUUUUGUAGAAUGAACCGGCGAGUUACGGAAAGAUGCGAGGUUAAGUCGGAAAGGACGGAGCCGCAGCGAAAGCGAGUCUGAAGAGGGCGAGAGUAGACUUCCGUAGACCCGAAACCGGGUGAUCUAGCCAUGAGCAGGUUGAAGUUGAGGUGAAACUCAAUGGAGGACCGAACCGACCACCGUUGAAAAGUUGGCGGAUGACUUGUGGCUAGCGGAGAAAUUCCAAUCGAACCCGGAGAUAGCUGGUUCUCCCCGAAAUAGCUUUAGGGCUAGCGUCGGAAUGAACCCAUGUGAAGGUAGAGCACUGAAUGUGUGAUGGCCCCAUCCCGGGGUACUGAAUACAAUCAAACUCCGAAUGUCAUGUGGGAUGUCCGGCAGUCAGACUGUGAGUGAUAAGGUCCAUGGUCGAGAGGGAAACAGCCCAGACCGCCAGUUAAGGUCCCAAAAUGCAGGCUAAGUGGAAAAGGAUGUGGGGAUGCCCAGACAACUAGGAGGUUGGCUCAGAAGCAGCCACCCUUUAAAGAGUGCGUAACAGCUCACUAGUCGAGUGACCCUGCGCCGAAAAUGUACCGGGGCUAAGCCUGAUACCGAAACUGCGGAAUCGAAUGAUUGGUAGGGGAGCGUUGUAUACGGGUAGAAGCCGUACCGUGAGGAGCGGUGGACUGUAUAGAAGUGAGAAUGCCGGUGUGAGUAGCGAGAUGUAGGUGAGAAUCCUACACACCGAAAGCCCAAGGAUUCCAGGGGAAGGUUCGUCCGCCCUGGGUAAGUCGGGACCUAACGCGAGGCCGAAAGGCGUAGUGGAUGGAAAGCAGGCGGAGAUUCCUGCACCCGUAUGUGGAGCGAUGGAGUGACGGAGACGGCUAAUGUGACCCUCUUAACGGAUUGAGGGCGAAGCGGGGUAGCGGUCGACCAGGCAAAUCCGGUCGGCAUAACGCGAAGACGUGACAGGGAAGCGAACGCUUUGGCAAGUAGCGAAGCACAUGAGGCCGGCUUCCAAGAAAAGCUUCUGGCAAUGCACAUGCGGCCCGUACCAAAACCGACACAGGUGGGCAGGUAGAGGAUACCAAGGUGAGCGAGAGAACUGUUGCCAAGGAACUCGGCAAAAUGGCUCCGUACGUUCGCAAGAAGGAGCGCUUAUGAAAAUAAGCCGCAGUGAAUAGGCCCAAGCGACUGUUUAACUAAAACACAGCUCUCUGCGAAGUCGCAAGACGAAGUAUAGGGGGUGACACCUGCCCGGUGCCGGAAGGUUAAGAGGAUCUGUCAAUCGCAAGAUGAAGCAGUGAGUUGAAGCCCCGGUGAACGGCGGCCGUAACUAUAACGGUCCUAAGGUAGCGAAAUUCCUUGUCAGGUAAGUUCUGACCCGCACGAAAGGUGUAACGAUUUGGGCGCUGUCUCGGCAGCAGGCUCGGUGAAAUCUUAGUACCUGUGAAAAUGCAGGUUACCCGCAACUAGACGGAAAGACCCCAUGGAGCUUUACUGUAGCCUGGUAUUGGAUUUUGGUCAGACAUGUACAGGAUAGGUGGGAGACUGUGAGACGUGCACGCCAGUGUACGAGGAGUCGCCGUUGGGAUACCACUCUUGUGUGAUCGGAGUUCUAACCUGGUGGCCUGAACCGGCCAUAGGGAGAGUGCCAGGUGGGCAGUUUGACUGGGGCGGUCGCCUCCCAAAGAGUA
rnacentral:rRNA from 1 species